CGCGCGACCCCUGGGACCCAGUUCCGCCUCUCGUGGGCCUUCAUGGCUGUCAAGCAUCUGGCCGGGGCUGGGGUACUGGGCCUGAGGUCGCGCUGGCGAAGCACCGAAGCCAGGCGGCUGUCGGGUGGCGCGGUUUUGGAGCCUUGCGUUUGCGGAUCGCGGCGGCGGAAGCUCGGCACGGAGACUCCCGAGCCCGGGGAGGUGUCAAUAAUGUUUGAGGACAUGGCUGCAUGCAUUACUCAGGAUGAGUGAAGAAAGCUGGAUCCUUCUCAGAGCAGCUUUUACUGAGAGAUGAUACUGGAGAACUACAAUCACCUGGCCACACUGGAGUUGGACUUCCAUUUACCAUACCCAAGGUGAUCUCCCUGUUGCAACAAGGAGAAGAUCACUGGAAGGCAGAGAAAGAAAGGCUUGGAGACUCUGCUCUUGGUGUUUGUUUUUAGACUUGCUGGCAACACUAGGAUAAGAACUGGCUUCAUAACAUUUGACACAGAAUUCAUUUGUACAGUCUUCAAGAAGGUCUCUCCCAAACACAGAUGCUAAUAGUUUCAGACAUUGAAAGUAAAAUACACCUGACUCCAUCCAUUGACUUCUAUAAGAAAUUAGCCUUGGACUGUUCUGGUCAACAGGUAGCUGUUGACUUAUUCCUUCUCAGUGGACAGUAUUCUGAUUUGGCUUCUCCGGGACCUUGAGAAGUUAGAGAAAAGCUGAGUGAAAUGCCUGCAGUUACUUUGGUGUGGUAAUAGUAGCAUCAUUUAAAAGGAGUUUGUGGGAGUGUCAGAAGGAGGAGCAUUUGGGGUUGGGAACCAGCAGGAGUCUGGAGGAUGAGAGGGACUUCCUGUCUCUGCCCAAUGUCAACCCAGAUGCCAGGUAUACAGUACAGAUGUCAGCGGAAAAGAGUCUUCCUGACAUGCAGUUGGGUUCUUUU